rnacentral:rRNA from 1 species
GAUAGUUGCCAUCAUUUGGUUGGGCACUUUAUCGAGACUGCCGGUGACAAACCGGAGGAAGGUGGGGAUGACGUCAAAUCAUCAUGCCCCUUAUGACCUGGGCUACACACGUGCUACAAUGGGCGGUACAAAGGGUCGCGAACCCGCGAGGGGGAGCCAAUCCCAAAAAGCCGCUCUCAGUUCGGAUUGCAGGCUGCAACUCGCCUGCAUGAAGCCGGAAUCGCUAGUAAUCGCGGAUCAGCAUGCCGCGGUGAAUGUGUUCCUGAGCCUUGUACACACCGCCCGUCAAGCCAUGGAAGCCGGGAGUGCCUGAAGUCCGUCACCGCAAGGAGCGGCCUAGGGUAAAAUUGGUAACUAGGGCUAAGUCGUAACAAG